rnacentral:rRNA from 1 species
GGGUUGUGAGGUUAAGCGACUAAGCGUACACGGUGGAUGCCCUGGCAGUCAGAGGCGAUGAAGGACGUGCUAAUCUGCGAUAAGCGUCGGUGAGGUGAUAUGAACCGUUAUAACCGGCGAUUUCCGAAUGGGGAAACCCAGUGUGUUUCGACACACUAUCAUUAACUGAAUCCAUAGGUUAAUGAGGCGAACCGGGGGAACUGAAACAUCUAAGUACCCCGAGGAAAAGAAAUCAACCGAGAUUCCCCCAGUAGCGGCGAGCGAACGGGGAGGAGCCCAGAGCCUGAAUCAGUGUGUGUGUUAGUGGAAGCGUCUGGAAAGGCGYGCGAUACAGGGUGACAGCCCCGUACACAAAAAUGCACAURYUGUGAGCUCGAUGAGUAGGGCGGGACACGUGGUAUCCUGUCUGAAUAUGGGGGGACCAUCCUCCAAGGCUAAAUACUCCUGACUGACCGAUAGUGAACCAGUACCGUGAGGGAAAGGCGAAAAGAACCCCGGCGAGGGGAGUGAAAAAGAACCUGAAACCGUGUACGUACAAGCAGUGGGAGCCUCUUWAUGGGGUGACUGCGUACCUUUUGUAUAAUGGGUCAGCGACUUAUAUUCUGUAGCAAGGUUAACCGAAUAGGGGAGCCGAAGGGAAACCGAGUCUUAACUGGGCGUUAAGUUGCAGGGUAUAGACCCGAAACCCGGUGAUCUAGCCAUGGGCAGGUUGAAGGUUGGGUAACACUAACUGGAGGACCGAACCGACUAAUGUUGAAAAAUUAGCGGAUGACUUGUGGCUGGGGGUGAAAGGCCAAUCAAACCGGGAGAUAGCUGGUUCUCCCCGAAAGCUAUUUAGGUAGCGCCUCGUGAAUUCAUCUCCGGGGGUAGAGCACUGUUUCGGCAAGGGGGUCAUCCCGACUUACCAACCCGAUGCAAACUGCGAAUACCGGAGAAUGUUAUCACGGGAGACACACGGCGGGUGCUAACGUCCGUCGUGAAGAGGGAAACAACCCAGACCGCCAGCUAAGGUCCCAAAGUCAUGGUUAAGUGGGAAACGAUGUGGGAAGGCCCAGACAGCCAGGAUGUUGGCUUAGAAGCAGCCAUCAUUUAAAGAAAGCGUAAUAGCUCACUGGUCGAGUCGGCCUGCGCGGAAGAUGUAACGGGGCUAAACCAUGCACCGAAGCUGCGGCAGCGACACUAUGUGUUGUUGGGUAGGGGAGCGUUCUGUAAGCCUGUGAAGGUGGCCUGUGAGGGUUGCUGGAGGUAUCAGAAGUGCGAAUGCUGACAUAAGUAACGAUAAAGCGGGUGAAAAGCCCGCUCGCCGGAAGACCAAGGGUUCCUGUCCAACGUUAAUCGGGGCAGGGUGAGUCGACCCCUAAGGCGAGGCCGAAAGGCGUAGUCGAUGGGAAACAGGUUAAUAUUCCUGUACUUGGUGUUACUGCGAAGGGGGGACGGAGAAGGCUAUGUUGGCCGGGCGACGGUUGUCCCGGUUUAAGCGUGUAGGCUGRUUUUCCAGGCAAAUCCGGAAAACCAAGGCUGAGGCGUGAUGACGAGGCACUACGGUGCUGAAGCGACAAAUGCCCUGCUUCCAGGAAAAGCCUCUAAGCAUCAGGUAACAUCAAAUCGUACCCCAAACCGACACAGGUGGUCAGGUAGAGAAUACCAAGGCGCUUGAGAGAACUCGGGUGAAGGAACUAGGCAAAAUGGUGCCGUAACUUCGGGAGAAGGCACGCUGAUAUGUAGGUGAAGCGACUUGCUCGUGGAGCUGAAAUCAGUCGAAGAUACCAGCUGGCUGCAACUGUUUAUUAAAAACACAGCACUGUGCAAACACGAAAGUGGACGUAUACGGUGUGACGCCUGCCCGGUGCCGGAAGGUUAAUUGAUGGGGUUAGCGGCAACGCGAAGCUCUUGAUCGAAGCCCCGGUAAACGGCGGCCGUAACUAUAACGGUCCUAAGGUAGCGAAAUUCCUUGUCGGGUAAGUUCCGACCUGCACGAAUGGCGUAAUGAUGGCCAGGCUGUCUCCACCCGAGACUCAGUGAAAUUGAACUCGCUGUGAAGAUGCAGUGUACCCGCGGCAAGACGGAAAGACCCCGUGAACCUUUACUAUAGCUUGACACUGAACAUUGAGCCUUGAUGUGUAGGAUAGGUGGGAGGCUUUGAAGUGUGGACGCCAGUCUGCAUGGAGCCGACCUUGAAAUACCACCCUUUAAUGUUUGAUGUUCUAACGUUGGCCCGUAAUCCGGGUUGCGGACAGUGUCUGGUGGGUAGUUUGACUGGGGCGGUCUCCUCCUAAAGAGUAACGGAGGAGCACGAAGGUUGGCUAAUCCUGGUCGGACAUCAGGAGGUUAGUGCAAUGGCAUAAGCCAGCUUGACUGCGAGCGUGACGGCGCGAGCAGGUGCGAAAGCAGGUCAUAGUGAUCCGGUGGUUCUGAAUGGAAGGGCCAUCGCUCAACGGAUAAAAGGUACUCCGGGGAUAACAGGCUGAUACCGCCCAAGAGUUCAUAUCGACGGCGGUGUUUGGCACCUCGAUGUCGGCUCAUCACAUCCUGGGGCUGAAGUAGGUCCCAAGGGUAUGGCUGUUCGCCAUUUAAAGUGGUACGCGAGCUGGGUUUAGAACGUCGUGAGACAGUUCGGUCCCUAUCUGCCGUGGGCGCUGGAGAACUGAGGGGGGCUGCUCCUAGUACGAGAGGACCGGAGUGGACGCAUCACUGGUGUUCGGGUUGUCAUGCCAAUGGCACUGCCCGGUAGCUAAAUGCGGAAGAGAUAAGUGCUGAAAGCAUCUAAGCACGAAACUUGCCCCGAGAUGAGUUCUCCCUGACUCCUUGAGAGUCCUGAAGGAACGUUGAAGACGACGACGUUGAUAGGCCGGGUGUGUAAGCGCAGCGAUGCGUUGAGCUAACCGGUACUAAUGAACCGUGAGGCUUAACCUUACAACGCCGAAG